rnacentral:rRNA from 1 species
AACGAACGCUGGCGGCAGGCCUAACACAUGCAAGUCGAACGCAUCGCAAGAUGAGUGGCGCACGGGUGAGUAACACGUGGGAAUGUGCCCUUUGGUUCGGAAUAACGUCUGGAAACGGACGCUAAUACCGGAUGUCCCCUGCGGGGGAAAGAUUUAUCGCCAAAGGAGCAGCCCGCGUCUGAUUAGGUAGUUGGUGGGGUAAAGGCCUACCAAGCCGACGAUCAGUAGCUGGUCUGAGAGGAUGAUCAGCCACACUGGGACUGAGACACGGCCCAGACUCCUACGGGAGGCAGCAGUGGGGAAUAUUGGACAAUGGGCGCAAGCCUGAUCCAGCCAUGCCGCGUGAGUGAUGAAGGCCUUCGGGUUGUAAAGCUCUUUCGCACACGACGAUGAUGACGGUAGUGUGAGAAGAAGCCCCGGCUAACUUCGUGCCAGCCGCCGCGGUAAUAC